GGAGCCAAAUGAGCUGGCCCCAGAACCUGGAACCCUCUCUUGGGGUCUGGAUUGGGACCCCUUACCAGUACCAUUUUGCUGGUGAACCACGAAGGGACGAUACCAGAGAAACCCCCCAACCCAAAGGAAAUAGACUACAGCCCCAGUUGGCUGACUUUGGAGUCAAGAAACCCCCCCUUCUUGAGCUAUUUACAGCUUUUAACAAUUGAGUAAAGUACGCUUCUAUAAGGAUUAUAAAACAAAGAUUUGUCCAAAACCAAAAUUUGGAAUAUUUUUUUUCUCUUUACCUGAUUUCUGCAGAAUUUGGAAACUAUUUGUGAGUGUUCUUAACUUAUGACAAUAUAGUUAUUUGCAUAAGUGCAGUAAGAAUCUGUUUUUCCUUCUUUCUUCUUCUUUUUUUUUUGUAACAGGACACAAUUAGAGAAACUGGUUAUUUAACAAGGGUUUGACUGGAAUGGCAUGCUUUCAAAUAUAAACAGACUUCUUUAAGGAAUUAAAGUUGAC